AUCGGUCUUGGAUGGAGAUGAUUAGGGAUUUAAUGCAUCUCGUCACUAAGAAAUGAGAAAUGCUACAGGUCUGCCUCUUUUGAAUUGUGUAGAAAUUGUAUUUUCCUUUUUUUUUUUUUCCCCUCCAUAUGCAAAUCAAAAUGGAAGAAGUGAGAAGAAAUAUUAUAAAGGAUACAUAACGCAAUGGCAGCCCUGUUGUUUCCCACCUUACUCCCCCUUUCACAUUGCUGUUGGCACAGCAGCAUGUGUUUGAAUGUGAAGAAGGGAGUGAAGAAGCUGGUCUCAGCCUCCAUCUCCCAGGCAGGUAGGACAGAGGAAAUACAGGAAAUGCUUGCGUAAAGAUGUAAGAUAGAGAGCAAUUCCCACGCUGCCCCUUUUGGAUUUGGAAGCUGAGAAGCAUCUACUCUGUUAUUUGGAGCAAUUCAGGAGCGGAACAGAUUCCCACAGACAAUUUCCAUGGAUACUACACAACACGGAGGUCUAAGCUUGCUUCCUCCGCUUCCAGAUGUGUGGAAUUACUGCAUUGCUCACAGCAUCAGCUCUUGUCUCUGGAAGCAAAGUCUGGAAGGCACCCCGACUGUCCUCAUCCCUCCCCUCCGCGGCAGUAUCACUGUUCUGUGGACACAUGUGCAGAUCUAGCUGGAGCUGAUGAUCAACCCAAAGGAGGAACCGUCUCAGUCCUGAGAAUACAAAAUAGCUACCACAAAAGACAGCAGUGGUUCGUCUGUGGGUUCCCAUGCAACUUGGAAAUACAAGAGAGAAAUCAUCAUUGCCUUUUGCAGCCUGUAAGAUUUGUGACAGCCAAUUGCAGCGAUAUCCAUAACUUCUGAAAAAGAAAACAUCAUUUUUCUCCUACUGGCAUAUCUCAACUGCACGAGAAGCGUUUCUUUCAGCAUCACCGAAGGCCUGGGAUAUCUCACUUCAUGAAUCACAUUAGAUGUCUUCUCCUAAUUUUGUACGACCAUCUGUGAAUCUUUCCAACCCAGGUUCCAUCAGGAGCAGGAUCUGGCAGUUGGAAGAGAUUUGAGACCAACUCACUUGAUCCUUUUCCUGCUUCUCAGGCUGAUGAUAUUUCAGCAUAAAAGGAGGCUUUGAGCUGGUGUUGACUGCUUUUUCUCCUCUUUUCAAGGUAGUGGCAAAUUCAUCCUUACGGAGUAAGGAUGUCUUUGCAGGAUCACUAAUACCCUUCUUGGUAAUUCAGUUGCAGUGCAAAGCUUUGGAUGACUGAAGUGGGAAGGACAGAGGAAAGAAAAGCAACCCAAACCUUCACCAGCACACCUGCUUGAGGGGCCGCAGAACUCCAAAGUUCAUCAAUACUAUGUGAAUCACUGCUGGAGACUGACAUUAGAAAUCCAUCUUCAUGCUGGCCUGGUUCCUCAUCUCCUACAUCACUAAAUUACAACUUAAAUCCAAAUAUCUCCCAAAUGUUUUGAUACAAGACCUAAAAAACCCCCAUUUCUCAGCUCCCUGAAGACUUCAUAGACCAUAUGCUUCUCAAAGGAGAAGUUAUGCUGUUUCACUUCUUUCUAAUGACUGUUGGCCAAUGGGAAAAUGUAUAACUGAACAACUUAGGUUAUGUCCGCUUGGAGAAGUUGAAGAUUUCAUUAGAUGCUGGACAACAAUAUUCACAUCCAAAGCACUCAAUUUCCAUGCUGCAUCAGGCUUAGUCUCAGUCUCCCCAGAACACAGUGAAAAGAUGUGACAGUAGCUUUCUGUGUAGAAAUAUAUUUGGCAAAUAUAUAAACCCUGCAGAGCAUCCCUUGAGAGGCUAAAGGAAUUUAAACUUAAGUCCCAUGCAGAUCUCCUCUAAGGUGUUAUUUUCCCCCCUAAAUACCAUGUUGAAAUUCUACUUUUACCAAGUUUAAAACUGGAAGAUACAUUAUGUUUGCAGAACUGGAAAUCUCAGUGAAUAAAUAAAUCUUGAGAAGCACAGCUACAGGGAAACAGGCACAGACCUUGCACCAUUCACAGCUUUAAAAAAAGUGUUGGAGCUUAGUAAAGCCAGCAUCACACACACAGCAAAUUAGAAGGAGGGCACGCUCUCCUCAUGAACUUGGGGAAAACCCACACAUUUCAAAAGCACAUAAUUCAGCUGUAAAAUGUUAACAACUGUUUUCCAGACUUCGCUUUGGUAUACAAAAUUCAGCCCAGAAACUCUUCCAUUUCACAAAGUAUGGUUCAAAUUAAGGGGAAAAAACAACCCUUUACAUAUCUUUGCAGUGUUUUUUUUUUUUUCUUUCCACAACACCAGAGUUCUGUCAAAGUGGGAAUCUUCAUAAAAACAACUAUUCAUAUUCUAUGGUUUAUUUAUGCAAAUUGGAUGGGCAAUGUUAAUUAAAUGAACACUUAGAUCUGUGUAGACCUUUUUACCAGUAGGUUUCAAGAAGAUAAAGUAUGAGAACCUUACUUUGGAACCAAAGAAAUGAAGAUCUGGAUAGGUUGGAUAGCUGGGCUGAAGCCAAUGGGAUGGGAUUCAACAAGACCAAAUGCCGGGUCCUGCACUUUGUCCACAAUAACCCCAGGCAACGCUACAGGCUUGGGGCAGAGUGGCUGGAAGACUGUGUAGAGGAAAUGGACCUGGGGGUGUUGAUUGACACUAGACUGAACAUGAGCCAGCAGUGUGCCCAGGUGGCCAAGAAGGCCAAUGGCAUCCUGGCUUGUAUCAGAAAUAGUGUGGCCAGCAGGAACAGGGAAGUAAUUAUCCCCCUGUACUCAGCACUGGUGAAGCCACACCUUGAGUACUGUGUCCAGUUUUGGGCCCCUCACUGUAAGAAAGACAUCGAGGCCCUGGAGCAUGUCCAGAGGAGGGCAACAAAGCUGGUGAGGGGUCUGGAGCACAGGCCUUAUGAAGAGCGGCUGAAGGAGCUGGGAUUGUUCAGUUUAGAGAAGAGGAGGCUCAGGGGAGACCUUAUUGCUCUCUAUAACUACCUGAAGGGAGUUUGUAGUGAGCUGGGGGUCGGCCUCUUCUCUCAGGUGACUAGUGAUAGGACUAGAGGGAAUGGCUUCAAGCUGCACCAGGGAAGAUUCAGGCUGGACGUUAGGAAAUACUACUUCUCUGAAAGGGUGGUCAGGCACUGGAAUGGGCUGCCCAGAGAGGUGGUGGAGUCACCGAACCUGGUGGUGUUCAAAGAGCGUUUGGAUGUUGUGUUGAGGGACAUGGUUUAGCGAGAACCAUUGGUGAUGGGCGAAUGGUUGGACUGGAUGAUCCUGUGGGUCUUUUCCAACCUUAGCGAUUCUAUGAUUCUAUAAGAAACAUUGUAAGUGACGUAUGAGCUGAUCUACCAGACUAGGAACCAAGCCAGGAGAAAGGCAAACGAAGGGAUGGAUGCAUGCAAUAAAAGCCUUCAAAUGAUGCCAGGCUGGAUUUUUUUCCUGUGACAGACAGUUAUUGUACAGUUAUGGUCUUCUAAUUAACCAGUUAAAGUACAGUUUCUGCAAUUGUCCUACAUAUGUAGGUACCUGGAUAUUAAGCCUAUAGUUUCAUGAAGUACAGAAAUUCAGUUCCCUCUGAUCCCCCUGAGAAGAAAACAGAGAACAAAACCAACCACCAUUUACCUUCCCCUGAACACCUCUGCUGGUAACAGCUUUGUAAAAUAUUCCUGUGCAAUAUCUACUGAGCAUUAGCAUUGUGCACUUCAUACAGUGAUGCAUCACUGUCCUUUGCUGCAAUUUUAGUUAAUUACCCCAUGAAAAACUUAAAAGAUUUAAGCUCAUAAAAAGUAGUAAAUAAUACAUAUCAGUAGUUUGAUUUCUUGCUACAACACAAAGUUGGAAGUUCAGCCUUCAGUAACCUCUGAGCUAUUCCUUAUCCCCACAGCUUCUGUGACAGUACUACAGGAACGUCUAUCUGUACACAGCAUACAAUAUUACCCUUUAUGAAGGCAGCACUGGAACGGAGAUAUAUAAUUAAUUACAUUCAAUUUAGCACCAUGGAUUUAAGGAUUUGCCUUCCAUUAGCAAACAGAGGAGGGAAACUUAGAAAGUAGAUAACAUCUAUUAUAGACAGAUCAUAUAAAUGACUAUUUCACACUUAUUUAAUCCUUCAAAAGCACUAUCAGAGAAAAUAGUUGUUUCUUAUAAGCAGAUGUACUGUUUGAAGGCACUCAGAGCAAUAUUCAGAUGCUGCUGUAUGGAGUGUGUGUUAAGGAAAGCCCAAAGCAGUUGGGACAGUCUGCUGUAAGCUGGCAGGGUGAGGGCAGAGGCUGCAGACACAGUGCAUGGAUGGAUGUGUGCAUGGCUGGGGAUAGAUGCAUGGCCACGCUGCCAAAGAGACCUGCCUUGUUCUUGGGCUGGGUGUAGAGACAACAACCCUGAUCUUCAGCGCAAUGGGCAUGCAGCAAGACUGAACAGAAAAGAAGAUACUGGGAGGAAAGUGAUGGCUUGAGACUUUUUUUCCCUGAAAAAUCAGAAAAAACCCCAACUCUGCUACAACCAAAAAUCCAGUCAUCCAAAACAUUUCAUCUGUGAAAAGAAUUCAAAUUCAAUUAUUGACUGCACAACAAAUUACUGCAUCUCAGUCAGAGGCCGUGCGUGGAAGCUGAAACACUGAGAACACAGCUAGAACGUAUUCCAAACGCAGCCUUCACCCAGGACUCUCUGAAGCACAGUCGACAUCAGAGACAGCAGAGCAGGAAAUAUGUUCUCAGAUGGAAAGGUCUGCUACAUUCCUCCAAGAAUUGCCCUCUAGAGCCGGAGCCUCUUUGUCUAACAGGUACAGCUGAGGCAGGUCCCUGUGCUUUGAAACACUGCUGUUAGAGAAGAAUCGAGGUAUGGCUUUUGGUUCAAGACUGAAUGGUUGGUACUGACAAAAUCUGGAGUAGGCAGCAGGACUCUGCUUUCACGUAUACAUUUGUUUCACAGCCUGAAGCUGGAAAAGCUUUAAUUUAAAUCUUACUGAUAAAAUAGAAAAAAAAGCUAUUGAUCUUAAUUUUUUUAGCAUGCAUGGUAUUUUUAUUAAUGAUUAAUAACCUUACUAUACUAUCACAAUAUAUCUGUAUAUGUAUUUUUCUUGUUAAAGUAUACAAUUUAGGUGUAAAACAUUUCAUUUGAUUCAUCUCCAACACUACUAACCUUUUCUUACUUAAAUCUGUAAUGCAAAUCUAUAAAAAUCACCAUCAGCUAUAACAGAUGAGUCCAUUGAAAGGCAGUGGCCCUAGGGAUGGCUCUGACCUCCUGAUCUUUCCAUCGCCACUGCUCACACAGCCAGGACUCCUUUGUCCAGAUCAAACCUUUCAGUAGCUGGCACUGAUGAUCAGAGCAAAGCAACUCUCCCACAUCUCUCUGGACAUGGCUUUUAUGCUCCUCUGCAUCUCCAUGAGACUAAACAACAAUCAGCAUUUGACUCUAAAACUCUUUUCAUGGCCAUCUUAUAGUUCAGACACGGUCCCCCCAGGAACCUGUAGCAUGGGGGUCAUAGAAAUCUCAUCCUGUUCCCCCUAGAUACAUUCACAUAUUUCCACAUCAGGUAGAAUACAUGUAGCAAAACCAAACUGGGCAUGCACAAUCACCUGUAGUUUCUUCAGGCAAGGCCACCUCAGAGAUGCAAGAAAAACAGUCUAGGAAAAGUUUUAGAGACCUUUUUCCUGCCAACAUACACAAACCUAGUUACUUUGUUCCAAGGGGCCAACUUCAUCAUGUACCAUACUGGUAGUUAAUUCGGCCUAAAUGCUUGCCAGUUUUUAAUACAGCUUCCCUAAAGUUCCUAUUAAUCUGGGGUGAAUAUAAAGUGCACUGCUUUCUCCCAGCUUGUUUCAUCCUCUGAUUACAUUCACAUAUUGUACGCAGCACAGCUGUGGACACUUCAGGAGCAGCCAUCCUGAAGAUGGAGAUUGACCAUCCAGUACAACCCACCCCAUCCCAACACUCUGAUUUUCUUUCUGUAGGGUUUCACCAUCGAUUGUAGCCUUCCCAAAUCUUAUCUAACACUAUCUCAUCUAGUCUGUGUUCCAAAAUUCGAUUUAUGCACCUGUAUUCAUUCAUUUUUCACUUGGCUUUGCUGUAAUGUCUAACAGCAGAGAUAGCAUUUGUACUUCUGAUAGCUCAAAAGUUUACACAUCAUUUGAAAGCCAUGCAUUUGCAGAUAGAUAAAAAUAGUCUUCGUGUUUUAAUUAAGUGUUUGCAGUGCAACAGUCAGCGUUGGCAAUGGCAACAGUCAGUUACAGCUAAUGAUACCUUUUGAUAAAGGCAUCAAAUUGUUUUACCCCCAAACCAACCUGUACUACUUUGAGUAAUUUCUGCUGGCACCUCUGGCUUAUGUGCUGCUGAUGGUCAGUUUUUAUCCUAUUGAUGUGUACUGUUAUGGUAAUUGGAGGCUAUUUUAGACUAUUUGUGUUUACCCUUAUUGCUAGUUAAUCCCCCCAGAAUUGUGAAGCAUCACUCACAGAUUUUCCAUGUUAGCUGUUAUUUUGCCACUUCUGCACAGAAACUUGCUUGAAACCACCUCAAAUCACAGAUUUGUUGGCCAAGUUCCUAUUACCCUCAGCAGCUCUGUAUUAGGACCUACGUGGCUCAAUUAAUCAGGUGGCUAACACCAAGCAAGUCUAAAGACAAGGAUGAAUGGAAAGCAUCCUGGGGGACAGCUGUGCAGGAAAAUUAAAGUCAAAAAGGAAAGUUGCAGCAGAGACCACAGUAGGACAGAGGAGGAGCUCCUGGCUGUGAGCUGUCUGCAGCUCCAGGAGCCCUGGCUUUUGGCACUUUGUGAAGAAUUGCAGCUGCUGAUGCUGUCAAUAGUCCAGAAAAAGUAGCAGCUGCAAGGGAAGGAGGGAGGACUGCUUGGGACUUCCUGACUGACCUCACACUUCUGUAGCCCAGAUCAUUUCUCCUUCUCCUGCCAUACUUCACCCAUAAAAACACUGAUUACUAUGAUUUCAUGCAGGUGGAGGAAAUUUCACUUUCACGGCUUCAGAGUUGUUUCAUUUUCAGAUCCUAAGGGUUUCCACAGCUUGGAGAGAUCACAGGAGUGAUUUUUUCAAGCGUGGGGCUUGGGGGCUCUCAGUGUUGGGACCUGCCUUUUUACUACUGCUGGAAAGGUCCAGAACUUGAGGGUUGAAAACUAUCAAGUGAACAUCAUACAACAAAAUACAAUUUUCACAGAAAAUGGUUUCUCUUUGUUAAAUUUCACAUCUACUCAUUGUAAAAGCAUCCCCAUAAAACAAACAAAAAAAAGUGUUCAUGUUAUUUUGUGUGAAAAGACAAAACACUUAUUAGAAGGCAUAACACUUUUUGAUUCUUGUCUUACAGAAUAAGCUACGAAUCCUCAACAUAUAAAGUGACUAUAAAGUAAAAACUAAUUUCUCAUGUAGUUAUUCUGUUCCUGAGACCUUUCUGGCUAUCUAAUAUAUUUCCAAAGGAACAUGUUGUUUUGAUAACUGAAUACUCAAUUAGAUAUUCCUCUAGCAAACCAAUUCAGAACUUCCUAUCACGAUCUUCUGUACAGCUACACAGAUAGGGCAUAUAAUUGGACAAAACUUUUCACAGCCACAAGAUUAAGUUUCUUCUUUAAUAAAUAAUUCUUUUUAUUAUUAAAA